GUUGUUAAAGAAGAACAUAUCUGAGAGUAACUGUUCAGGUAUUGACGGUAUUUAACCAGAAAGCCACGGCUAACUACGUGCCAGCAGCCGCGGUAAUACGUAGGUGGCAAGCGUUGUCCGGAUUUAUUGGGCGUAAAGCGAGCGCAGGCGGUUUUUUAAGUCUGAUGUGAAAGCCUUCGGCUCAACCGAAGAAGUGCAUCGGAAACUGGGAAACUUGAGUGCAGAAGAGGACAGUGGAACUCCAUGUGUAGCGGUGAAAUGCGUAGAUAUAUGGAAGAACACCAGUGGCGAAGGCGGCUGUCUGGUCUGUAACUGACGCUGAGGCUCGAAAGUAUGGGUAGCAAACAGGAUUAGAUACCCUGGUAGUCCAUACCGUAAACGAUGAAUGCUAAGUGUUGGAGGGUUUCCGCCCUUCAGUGCUGCAGCUAACGCAUUAAGCAUUCCGCCUGGGGAGUACGGCCGCAAGGCUGAAACUCAAAGGAAUUGACGGGGGCCCGCACAAGCGGUGGAGCAUGUGGUUUAAUUCGAAGCUACGCGAAGAACCUUACCAGGUCUUGACAUACUAUGCAAAUCUAAGAGAUUAGACGUUCCCUUCGGGGACAUGGAUACAGGUGGUGCAUGGUUGUCGUCAGCUCGUGUCGUGAGAUGUUGGGUUAAGUCCCGCAACGAGCGCAACCCUUAUUAUCAGUUGCCAGCAUUAAGUUGGGCACUCUGGUGAGACUGCCGGUGACAAACCGGAGGAAGGUGGGGAUGACGUCAAAUCAUCAUGCCCCUUAUGACCUGGGCUACACACGUGCUACAAUGGAUGGUACAACGAGUUGCGAACUCGCGAGAGUAAGCUAAUCUCUUAAAGCCAUUCUCAGUUCGGAUUGUAGGCUGCAACUCGCCUACAUGAAGUCGGAAUCGCUAGUAAUCGCGGAUCAGCAUGCCGCGGUGAAUACGUUCCCGGGCCUUGUACACACCGCCCGUCACACCAUGAGAGUUUGUAACACCCAAAGUCGGUGGGGUAACCUUUUAGGAACCCAGGA
rnacentral:rRNA from 1 species